rnacentral:rRNA from 1 species
GACGAACGCUGGCGGCGUGCUUAACACAUGCAAGUCGAACGAAGCUUGAUUACGGAUUCUUCGGAUGAAGUAUGAUAUGACUGAGUGGCGGACGGGUGAGUAACGCGUGAGUAACCUGCCCUUCAGAGGGGGAUAGCGUUUGGAAACGAACGGUAAUACCGCAUAAUGUAUUUUGACCGCAUGAUCGAAAUACCAAAGAUUUAUCGCUGAAGGAUGGACUCGCGUCUGAUUAGGUAGUUGGUGGGGUAACGGCCUACCAAGCCGACGAUCAGUAGCCGGACUGAGAGGUUGAUCGGCCACAUUAGGACUGAGACACGGCCCAGACUCCUACGGGAGGCAGCAGUGGGGAAUAUUGCACAAUGGGCGCAAGCCUGAUGCAGCAACGCCGCGUGAAGGAAGACGGUUUUCGGAUUGUAAACUUCUGUUCUUAGUGAAGAAUAAUGACGGUAGCUAAGGAGCAAGCCACGGCUAACUACGUG